CGGGGUGUAGCGCAGUUGGUAGCGUGUUACGUUCGGGACGUAAAGGUCGGAAGUUCGAGUCUUCUCACCCCGA
rnacentral:tRNA from 1 species